ACAAAUAUUCAGUCAAUGCAGUUACUUCCUGUGGAAUAGGCGUUACUAUGGUAUUCUUCAACAAUUUACGAUAUUUCCGCGCAUAGUUCAACAGAAUGUCUUUACAAUACGCACUUGACGCUCAGAUCGUCAUUCUUUGUGAAGAUGGCGGGCAAACUCAAAAGCGGCGAAAUGAAAGAUGUCUUAUUGCGUUUAAACACCAUCAACAAUUCAUGUGAUUCCGCGGUAGCUACACUUCUCGAGAGACAGAAUGAGUUGAGCAGAGCACUCGAGACACAAAAAUACCUCAAUAAGAGUGUGAUGCCCCUUUACACAGCCCUUGUGCCACAAGAAGACCACGUACGACCACAAAGUGGGGAACAUCCAUAAAUCCACAUGUAUUGUGAAAAAUAUUUCGUUGAUUUGGACAGCUGCCUGGUAUGAGAACAUCGCAGGCAGCUUGAUACACUUGUGAAGAUGCUGCGUUGUUCUGUGAGAGAAGUGCUCGUUCGGUGGUCGUCUAGAACUCUAAUGUUAAAGGAAUUAAUUCAGUAAUUUUGUGGCUUAAUUCAUCUUGAAUAUAAUUUUUCCAACAUUUUGAAUCAUUCUUUAAUACACUCGUUGUUGUUAUGCA